GGUUUCUGGAGGAAGGUUCGUCCGCUCCAGGUUAGUCGGGAGCUAAGGUGAGGCCUAACGGCGUAGCCGAUGCACAGACGGUAGAGAUUCCGUCACCACCAAAAGAGUUAAACACAGGGACACAUAUGAAGUCUCGGAGCCGGGUGUUGGUUCCGGUAGCGAUCGAGGGAAGUUAGUACCGAAGUCCGGGAUGGAAGAUGGCGAGAAAAGCUGUGUGUAUUUCUGCGGUGCCCGUACCGCAAACCGACACAGGUAGGUAGGAAGAAGAUUCUAAGGCCAACGGGAGAAGGGUUGUUAAGGAACUCGGCAAAUUGACCCCGUAACUUCGGGAGAAGGGGUGCUCCAGAGAUGGAGCCGCAGAGAAUCGGCCCAAGCAACUGUUUACCAAAAACACAGGUUUGUGCUAAAUCGAAAGAUGACGUAUACGAGCUGACGCCUGCCCGGUGCUGGAAGGUUAAGAGGAGAUGUGCAAGCAUUGAAUCGAAGCCCCAGUAAACGGCGGCCGUAACUAUAACGGUCCUAAGGUAGCGAAAUUCCUUGUCAGGUAAGUUCUGACCCGCAUGAAAGGCGUAAUGAUUUGGGCACUGUCUCAACAGCCCGCCCGGCGAAAUUGUAGUACCGGUGAAGAUGCCGGUUACCCGCGACAAGACGGAAAGACCCCAUGGAGCUUUACUGUAGCCUAAUAUUGGGUUUCGAUGUUGCAUGCACAGGAUAGAUGGGACUCUGGGAAACCAAGGCUUUGGCUUUGGCGGAGAGGCCGUUGGGAUACCAUCCUUGCGAUAUUGGAAUUCUAACCUGCGGCUCUGAAUCGAGUCGGGGGACAUUGUUAGGUGGGCAGUUUGACUGGGGCGGUCGCCUCCUAAAGAGUAACGGAGGCGUUCAAAGGUUCGCUCAGCUUGAACGGAAAUCAAGCAAAAGAGUGCAAACGCAGAAGCGAGCCUAACUGCGAGACUGACGGGUCGAGCAGUAACGAAAGUUGGAGUUAGUGAUCCGGUGGUAUGUGAGUGGAAAUGCCAUCGCUCAACGGAUAAAAGUUACCCUGGGGAUAACAGGCUGAUCUCCCCCAAGAGUCCACAUCGACGGGGAGGUUUGGCACCUCGAUGUCGGCUCAUCGCAUCCUGGGGCUGUAUUCGGUCCCAAGGGUUUGGCUGUUCGCCAAUUAAAGCGGUACGCGAGCUGGGUUCAGAACGUCGUGAGACAGUUCGGUCCCUAUCUGUCGUGGGCGCAGGAUAUUUGAUGGGAGCUGUCCCUAGUACGAGAGGACCGGGACGGACGUACCUCUGGCGCACCAGUUGUUCCGCCAGGAGCAUAGCUGGGCAACUACGUACGGAUCGGAUAAACGCUGAAAGCAUCUAAGCGUGAAGCCGACCCAAAGAUAAGAUAUCCCAUUGUUUCAAACAAGUAAGACCCCUUGAAGACUACAAGGUUGAUAGGCACGAUGUGUAAGUGGAGCGAUCCAUUCAGCAAGCGUGUACUAAUAGGUCGAGGGCUUGACCAC
rnacentral:rRNA from 1 species